rnacentral:pre_miRNA from 1 species
UUUAAGCGUCUCAAUGUCCAACUUUUGAUCGUCCGUCUUAUUUGAAAUUUUUUUAUGAUUAGUAUUUUUAUUGCUAUUAGAUAAUAAAACAUUAAUAAUACUUUAUAUGUAACUUAAUGUUUUUUAUUUUUUUUCAAAAUCUUUUCAAAUAAGACGGAUGAUCAAAGUUGGACACAAGGAAACUCAUGAAUGCGGUUAAA